GCCUCGUUGACACCGACGCUUCUCCUCACUCCAUAGUAAUUCUCACUUUCGAUUUCACGCAGUGGUUCGAUCGUGCGUCUUUAGGUUCGAGCACUCACACUUAUCAUUUAAUCACGAGGUUGUCGUCGUUGUGAUUGGUUUUCUUGAGAACCGCGCUCUCUGCCACGAAGAUGGUGGUGACGGCUAAGCUCUUGCUUCAUCUGGUGUUCGUAUUCCUCCUCAUCCACGGAACGCAGGGCGUGCCUGUAGAGGAUGGCCCUGCCCUCGUAAGAGGCCCAAGCCUCCGCAAGAUCGUCACUUUUGACUGGGACCUCUGGCCUCUGUGGUACGGAGAGCGUUACGUCGCCUACAGGUUCG